UUUCCGUAGGUGAACCUGCGGAAGGAUCAUUACAGAGUUCAUGCCCUCGCGGGUAGAUCUCCCACCCUUGAAUAUUUAUACCUUAGUUGCUUUGGCAGGCCGUGGAAACACCAUGGGCUCCGGCUUAUGCGUGCCUGCCAGAGGAAACAAACUCUGUUUUUAGUGAUGUCUGAGUACUAUAUUAUAGUUAAAACUUUCAACAACGGAUCUCUUGGUUCUG
rnacentral:misc_RNA from 1 species